GAGCCGAUCACUAUACGGCGCAGUGUGCUGAAUCGCCUUAGAGUUGAUCUGGCUCAAACGAACGCUGGCGGCAGGCUUAUACAUGCAAGUCGAGCGCUCCUUCGGGAUGAGCGGCGGACGGGUGAGUAACGCGUGGAAUGUGCCCUUCUCUACGGAAUAGCCACUGGAAACGGUGAGUAAUACCGUAUACGCCCUCAGGGGGAAAGAUUUAUCGGAGAAGGAUCAGCCCGCGUUAGAUUAAGUAGUUGGUGGGGUAACGGCCUACCAAGCCUACGAUCUAUAGCUGGUUUUAGAGGAUGAUCAGCCACACUGGGACUGAGACACGGCCCAGACUCCUACGGGAGGCAGCAGUAGGGAAUCUUGGACAAUGGGGGCGACCCUGAUUCAGCCAUGCCGCGUGAGUGAAGAAGGCCCUAAGGUCGUAAAGCUCUUUCGCCUGUGAUGAUAAUGACAGUAGCAGGUAAAGAAACCCCGGCUAACUCCGUGCCAGCAGCCGCGGUAAUACGGAGGGUGUAAGCGUUGUUCGGAAUUACUGGGCGUAAAGCGCGCGUAUGCGGAUUAGAAAGUUGGGGGUGAAAUACCGGGGCCUCAACUCGGAACUGCCUCC
rnacentral:rRNA from 1 species